UUCCGGUUGAUCCCGCCGGACCCGACUGCUAUCAGAGUGGGACUAAGCCAUGCGAGUCGACGUAGCAAUGCGUGGCGAACGGCUCAGUAACACGUAGUCAACAUGCCCAGGGGACGUGGAUAACCUCGGGAAACUGAGAAUAAACCACGAUAGGUCACGAUUUCUGGAAUGGAUCAUGGCCUAAAUCUACAUGGCCCCUGGAUUGGACUGCGGCCGAUCAGGCAGUUGGUGAGGUAAUGGCCCACCAAACCUAUAACCGGUACGGGCUCUGAGAGGAGAAGCCCGGAGAUGGGCACUGAGACAAGGGCCCAGGCCCUGUGGGGCGCAGCAGGCGCGAAACCUCUGCAAUAGGCGAAAGCCUGACAGGGUUACUCUGAGUGAUUUCCGCUAAGGGGAUCUUUUGGCACCUCUAAAAAUGGUGCAGAAUAAGGGGUGGGCAAGUCUGGUGUCAGCCGCCGCGGUAAUACCAGCACCCCGAGUGGUCGGGACGAUUAUUGGGCCUAAAGCAUCCGUAGCCGGUUCUGCAAGUCUUCCGUUAAAUCCAGCCGCUCAACGGAUGGGCCGCGGAGGAUACUACAGGACUAGGAGGCGGGAGAGGCAAGCGGUACUCAGUGGGUAGGGGUAAAAUCCUUUGAUCCAUUGAAGACCACCAGUGGCGAAGGCGGCUUGCCAGAACGCGCUCGACGGUGAGGGAUGAAAGCUGGGGGAGCAAACCGGAUUAGAUACCCGGGUAGUCCCAG
rnacentral:rRNA from 1 species